ACUCAGUGACGGGAGAGAGACUGGGGACAGGCACUUGUACCUUGUGGUAUGGGCCCCUUCUGAGCGCCCUAAAUGCUAACUGUACCUACUCCACUCUCCACUGUGUAAUAGCAGAGCUAAUUUUGAUUCCAUUAGAAGUCUGGUUACAGAUUGCAGAGCUGAAUUCACUUUGGGCCAAUGGUUGCACCAGCACUGGGGCUCCCCUACUAUGAGCUGAAAUCACUGAGUACUGUGUUAGGUAGUAGGCAGCUUGAAGAUAUAUUGGUGAGAGGCUUGCAGGAUGGCUACCGUGGAGCAGUAGCUGGUGGAGCGGCUCGCAGGACGGCUACUGGAGAGGAGCACCUGAUGGAGAGGAGCGGCUGGCGGUGAAGGUUGCAGCAGAAACCCAUGGAGAGGCAGGAUUUCAACCCGAGAAGCACAAGCACCUGAGUGACAUCCAGGAGUCUGGAAAAACAAAUCAGAGCUGAGGGUAUCAAUCUGUGACUGAAACAUGCCUGGGCAAAAGGAGAAAUAUUCAAAGUCUCAAAAAGCCGCCUUUGCAGACAAUGAGAAUGAAGAUCUUUCUACAAAUAUGAAUGGACUAGUAAUGGAACAAAUUCCAACACACCAGGUUCUAUUUACUGUCUAUUGAGCUUGGUCUUCCAGUUGCCAGCAUAAGAGUGUUUCUGCUUUACUGUUGCCAGAAGUAACUUUUCUUGGAAAUUACAAUAGUCAACUCAGAGACUAUUUCUUUCACUUGAAAUCCCAAGAUCAGAAAAGCCAAAGAUACAUAUUUUAAAAUGUAUGUGUAACUAAAA